AUUGAACGCUGGCGGCAGGCUUAACACAUGCAAGUCGAGCGGAGAUGAGGUGCUUGCACCUUAUCUUAGCGGCGGACGGGUGAGUAAUGCUUAGGAAUCUGCCUAUUAGUGGGGGACAACAUUCCGAAAGGAAUGCUAAUACCGCAUACGUCCUACGGGAGAAAGCAGGGGAUCUUCGGACCUUGCGCUAAUAGAUGAGCCUAAGUCGGAUUAGCUAGUUGGUGGGGUAAAGGCCUACCAAGGCGACGAUCUGUAGCGGGUCUGAGAGGAUGAUCCGCCACACUGGGACUGAGACACGGCCCAGACUCCUACGGGAGGCAGCAGUGGGGAAUAUUGGACAAUGGGGGGAACCCUGAUCCAGCCAUGCCGCGUGUGUGAAGAAGGCCUUAUGGUUGUAAAGCACUUUAAGCGAGGAGGAGGCUACUGAGACUAAUACUCUUGGAUAGUGGACGUUACUCGCAGAAUAAGCACCGGCUAACUCUG
rnacentral:rRNA from 1 species